rnacentral:piRNA from 1 species
CACCCUGUAGUAAUACAAACGCUAUUUAC